CAGUGGGGAAUAUUGCACAAUGGGCGCAAGCCUGAUGCAGCCAUGCCGCGUGUAUGAAGAAGGCCUUCGGGUUGUAAAGUACUUUCAGCGGGGAGGAAGGGGACGAGGUUAAUAACCUCGUUCAUUGACGUUACCCGCAGAAGAAGCACCGGCUAACUCCGUGCCAGCAGCCGCGGUAAUACGGAGGGUGCAAGCGUUAAUCGGAAUUACUGGGCGUAAAGCGCACGCAGGCGGUCUGUUAAGUCAGAUGUGAAAUCCCCGGGCUUAACCUGGGAACUGCAUUUGAAACUGGCAGGCUUGAGUCUUGUAGAGGGGGGUAGAAUUCCAGGUGUAGCGGUGAAAUGCGUAGAGAUCUGGAGGAAUACCGGUGGCGAAGGCGGCCCCCUGGACAAAGACUGACGCUCAGGUGCGAAAGCGUGGGGAGCAAACAGGAUUAGA
rnacentral:rRNA from 1 species